CAUAUCAAUAAGCGGAGGAAAAGAACCAACAGGGAUGCCCUAGUAACGGCGAGUGAAGCGGCAACAGCUCAAAUUUGAAAUCUGGCUCUUUUAGAGUCCGAGUUGUAAUUUGCAGAGGGCGCUUUGGCGUUGGCAGCGGUCUAAGUUCUUUGGAACAGGACGUCACAGAGGGUGAGAAUCCCGUACGUGGUCGCUAGCCUUCGCCGUGUAAAGCCCCUUCGACGAGUCGAGUUGUUUGGGAAUGCAGCUCUAAAUGGGAGGUAAAUUUCUUCUAAAGCUAAAUACUGGCCAGAGACCGAUAGCGCACAAGUAGAGUGAUCGAAAGAUGAAAAGCACUUUGGAAAGAGAGUCAAACAGCACGUGAAAUUGUUGAAAGGGAAGCGCUUGCAGCCAGACUUGCCUGUAGUUGCUUAUCCGGACUUUUGUCCGGUGCACUCUUCUGCGGGCAGGCCAGCAUCAGUUUGGGCGGUUGGAUAAAGGUCUCUGUCAUGUACCUCUCUUCGGGGAGGCCUUAUAGGGGAGACGACAUGCAACCAGCCUGGACUGAGGUCCGCGCAUCUGCUAGGAUGCUGGCGUAAUGGCUGUAAGCGGCCCGUCUUGAAACACGGACCAAGGAGUCUAACAUCUAUGCGAGUGUUUGGGUGUCAAGCCCAGACGCGUAAUGAAAGUGAACGGAGGUGGGAACCCUUUGGGUGCACCAUCGACCGAUCCUGAUGUCUUCGGAUGGAUUUGAGUAAGAGCAUGGCUGUUGGGACCCGAAAGAUGGUGAACUAUGCUUGAAUAGGGUGAAGCCAGAGGAAACUCUGGUGGAGGCUCGCAGCGGUUCUGACGUGCAAAUCGAUCGUCAAAUUUGGGCAUAGGGGC
rnacentral:rRNA from 1 species